rnacentral:lncRNA from 1 species
UAACAUACUAUAUCUCUCUAUCUAUCUCUCUAAAAUAUCUCUCUCUAGCUUCUAUAUAUAAAUAUUGGAGGAACAACAAAUGAAGUUCUGAGGCAAAGGAAGAGAAUUGCUUAGCGUCUAUAACCAAUGAAUGUCAACAAAGAUUAUGUCUCUCUUCCAUCACUUUCUGCCAAUCCUCCUUUAGCCAUUUCAUUUUCUUUGUUUCUCUACCUUUAUUUAGCAGUCUCUUAGUUUCUUGUCUUAAUUCAGAUUCCAUCUCUGGUUUCAUGGUUGUCUCCAAUCAAGGUAAAACCUAACACAGUCACUUUUCAAUUUUUUCUCUCUAUUUUCGCCUGUGGAUGUACAAAACUCUUUCCUGCUUUCUCAGUUUGUUGUUUGAAUAUUAAAAUGAGAGUAUUGUAACGUAAUGCAAAAUUGCAAAUUGAUUUGUUUAUUGAAGAAUUUUUGCUUUGUAUGUUUUCUUGUACUCUCUGUUAUUAGUUUCUACAUAUAUAUAUAGACACAUAUUGAGGUAUAUAUAAUGACUUGUGAGGAACCAUGUUAAGAUUCUUGUAGAAAAAGUAGGAGAUAAUGUGUCCCUCUUUUAAUUGUAUAUAGGAUCUCAUUUCGUGCUUAUAAUGUGUGUGCAUGCUGGUGCCUUUUUGCUCAGCUGCAUUUUUAUGUGCAUUGUUGGUGUACUCGUAUAUCUUUACUUACUAUGUUAUUAAUAGUCUUGAGAAACUCCCCUAAAUUUCUGGAGAUGAUGAUAGUCUAUUUUGUUUUUGGUUUACAGGGUGCUAAUAAAUCAGCUGUUUUGAAAGCUUAAUCAGACUCCUUUUUAGAUAAGUACAAUUUACCAAUGUAUUUCAAUGUCCAAAUUAUAGCGGUUUUUAAUUUUAUUUUAUGGUUUCUUCCUCCAGCCAACUAGUGAGAAUGAUGCUACUCGAGCUCCAAUCAGCAUUGAUCUACAGAGGAGCAGCUCAUUGAGCAGCAAAUCAAUGAUAUUGCAGAUUGACAAUUAAUCCCAUCAAGUUUCUGCAAGUAAGUCACUUAAUGUAUGUUCUCAAUUUAAUUUAAUCAUGUUAUAGUGCUGUUUUUGUUUAGAAUCUUCUUAGAAUUUCAAGUCAAUACUAUUGUGUUUUCACAUAUAGGGUUGUUUUGAUUUAGCUAUCAUUUAAACUCACUUCACAUCGUUCUUAAUGGAGUUUGUUUAUAGGUUAUUUCCAUGUCGAGCUGAAUCUUAAUUUAUUGUUUUGUAAAUACCAUCUUACAUUGCAAGUAUGUAAGAAUUAUAGCUGAAUUCCACUUUUCAUGAUUUAUAGUUUAUAUAAGGAUUUCAGGUCCUAGUGAUAAGACUUGCAAUGCUUGAGAGGAGAACGCAGAUACUUUACAGAUACGUUGCAGGUGAUUACUUAGUGUUUUUUUAAAAGUAAACUAUUAAGCAUGAUUCUACCACACUCAUCUGCCAAUGGAUCUCAAACAUCAAUCAACUCAACAUUGCCUUAGUUUAUAGAUUCAUUCAGAUUGACCAAUUGGUGUAUGUUAGCUUCUAUGAUAAUUCAUUCAAUUGCAUGCUAGUUUAUAUUUGGUUUUUGUGUCCUUAAAACUUACUAAUAUUCUUUGUCUUCAAUUUGGCAGGAGAGACUUGAAUGAUAGGUGCACACUGAAGUUUGGAUAUGAAGGAAGUAUCAGAGUGCAUUAGUGCUGUUAGGACUUGGGGGGACUUCCUACACACCACAAUUGUAGUUGCUAGUAUUUGGUUUGUUGUCUUUUUUAUUUUCUUGUAGGCUGGUCUCUUUAGAACAAAUAACUUUGUAAACUUUGUUGGUUUUUGGCAAUGAGAAUGAAUUUGAGAUAUCUGAAUCAUGUUGUGCAAAUGCUUUAUUAAAUUGUCAUCCAAAUUAAAAUCAGACAACAUAUAUUCCCAU